GAGUUCCUGAUGUGUUCGUUGUAUAACCUAAAGUUUUGACCGAACAUUUCUACCUUCGGGAGUCCGGGGUUCUCUAAACAAAGUAAAUGCCUCUUGGAAUAGAGGACUUGCAAAGUUUGGGACAGGGCACCUACCUGCUCAGAGCGGGAUCAAAACGAAGGCACCAAAAGCGACGGCAUAAUUGGGACUCU
rnacentral:other from 1 species